rnacentral:rRNA from 1 species
AGUGGCGAACGGGUGAGUAACACGUGAGCAACCUGCCCUUCAGAGGGGGACAACAGUUGGAAACGACUGCUAAUACCGCAUAAGACCACGGUGUGGCAUCACACAGAGGUCAAAGGAGAAAUCCGCUGAAGGAUGGGCUCGCGUCCAAUUAGCUAGAUGGUGAGGUAACGGCCCACCAUGGCGACGAUUGGUAGCCGGACUGAGAGGUUGAUCGGCCACAUUGGGACUGAGACACGGCCCAGACUCCUACGGGAGGCAGCAGUGGGGAAUAUUGCACAAUGGAGGAAACUCUGAUGCAGCGACGCCGCGUGAGGGAAGAAGGUCUUCGGAUUGUAAACCUCUGUUGUCAGGGACGAUAAUGACGGUACCUGACGAGGAAGCCACGGCUAACUACGUGCCAGCAGCCGCGGUAAAACGUAGGUGGCAAGCGUUGUCCGGAAUUACUGGGUGUAAAGGGAGCGCAGGCGGGAGAGCAAGUUGGAAGUGAAAUCUGUGGGCUCAACUCACAAAUUGCUUUCAAAACUGUUUCUCUUGAGUGGUGUAGAGGUAGGCGGAAUUCCCGGUGUAGCGGUGGAAUGCGUAGAUAUCGGGAGGAACACCAGUGGCGAA